rnacentral:lncRNA from 1 species
GCUUUGGCAUAGACAAACGAUGCUUAUUAACAGGGCCAUUCGAUGUAAUAUACAUAUGCAUGCUUAUAUGUUAUUCGCCGUUAAUCAGAUGCAACGCUCAACUCUGUAAAAAAGUAACCUAACCGCAAAACAAUAAAUGCAAUAAAUCAAUUGAGCACGGUAAGACGGCUGAAUUGUUGAUUAUUGUGUUUUCAUAUGCUUAGAAAUAUAAGAACAUAUAAACAAAAAGCAAGAAAACGAUAAAAAAGUGUCCUAAGCGAAUAGACAUAGUGCUAACGUUGCCAAAACAUUGGAUAGCUUCUAUUAAUUCAGUAUUAUUAUGCGCUCGUUACGUUAAACAUGUGUGUGUUAAAUUUUCGUUCGUUAUCAGUGAUAUAUCUAUAAUUGUCAGUGCGCACCGAUAACACUUUGCGGCUAAAAACGGCUGAAAAUUACGAUUACAUUAUAACGUUGACCAAAUAUCAGUAUUUCAACCAACAUGGACGAAGUAUUUUCAUUACAUUUAGGAAAACUCGACAUAUUUGAUGUCUUCUUCCUCGCUGGCAUUUUAUCUUUGGUUAUACUAUUUUCAAUUUGAAAACGUUAAAAGCACUAACCAAUAUGGACAAAAUAAUAAAUUUACAAUCGUAUACAAAUCGCCAACACCAAACGAAAAUGCGCAGCAAAACUUACAAUUGUGAAAUACCAGGAUGUAAACGUCAAGCCAAAGAGAAAUAGUAAAAAUAAAGAAAACGUCAAAAAAUUUACAGGGAUGCAUGCAGUGUAUUAACAGAUAUGUUCACACACUGAAGGGAGAAUAUUUGAUUUCUUAGGAAAUAAAUAUGUUAAUUUUAGUUCUUAAUGAAAAUUUGUUUUAAAUGUUUUACGCUGUUUAGACGACCAGUUAACAAAUCGUCUUAAAUUCUAAAAUGAGAUGUAAAUGCUCCUAUGGUUUCUUAUUUUGUCCUAAUUAUGUCAUUUUUAUUUAAAAAAUGAGACUGAUGAGUAGAAAAAAAAUCAGAUAAUUCAAAUGUGUUAAUACCAAAGUGUAGUUUUAUGAGUGGCCUAAGCAAAACAAACGAAAUAAAUAUGGGUUGAAUAUAAAGAAUUAUGUUGCACUUAGCUCACAUAUAUAUAAUAUAUAAAAGCAAGUAUUUAUUAAAAAAAUAUUUACAAUUCAAACCAUUGUAAGUUUAAAUUUUAAAUAAACAUAAUAAGCA